AACAGGGAUUGCCUUAGUAACGGCGAGUGAAGCGGCAACAGCUCAAAUUUGAAAUCUGGCCUUCUGGCCCGAGUUGUAAUUUGCAGAGGAUGUUUCUGGCGAGGUGCCUUCCGAGUUCCCUGGAACGGGACGCCAUAGAGGGUGAGAGCCCCGUACGGUUGGUCGCUAAGCCUCUGUGAAACUCCUUCGACGAGUCGAGUAGUUUGGGGAAUGCUGCUCUAAAUGGGAGGUAUACGUCUUCUAAAGCUAAAUACCGGCUAGAGACCGAUAGCGCACAAGUAGAGUGAUCGAAAGAUGAAAAGCACUUUGAAAAGAGGGUUAAAUAGUACGUGAAAUUGUUGAAAGGGAAGCGCUCAUGACCAGACUUGGACCGGUUGAUCAUCCAUCGUUCUCGGUGGUGCACUCUGCCGGUUCAGGCCAGCAUCAGUUUGGCCCGGGGGAUAAAGGUUUCGGGAAUGUGGCUCCCCACGGGGAGUGUUAUAGCCCGUUGCGUAAUACCCUGGGCUGGACUGAGGUUCGCGCUCCGCAAGGAUGCUGGCGUAAUGGUCAUCAGUGACCCGUCUUGAAACACGGACCAAGGAGUCGUCUUCGUAUGCGAGUGUUCGGGUGUCAAACCCCUACGCGUAAUUGAAAGUGAACGUAGGAGAGAGCUUCGGCGCAUCUCCGACCGAUCCUGAUGUUCUCGGAUGGAUUUGAGUAAGAGCAUACGGGGCCGGACCCGAAAGAAGGUGAACUAUGCCUGUAUAGGGUGAAGCCAGAGGAAACUCUGGUGGAGGCUCGCAGCGGUUCUGACGUGCAAAUCGAUCGUCAAAUAUGGGCAUGGGGGCGAAAGACUAAUCGAACCUUCUAGUAGCUGGUUUCCGCCGAAGUUUCCCUCAGGAUAGCAGUGUUGAACUCAGUUUUAUGAGGUAAAGCGAAUGAUUAGGGACCCGGGGGCAGCUAUAUAGCCUUCAUCCAUUCUCAAACUUUAAAUAUGUAAGAAGCUCUUGUUGCUUAAUUG
rnacentral:rRNA from 1 species